GAUGAACGCUGGCGGCGUGCCUAAUACAUGCAAGUCGAGCGAACAGAUGAGAAGCUUGCUUCUCUGAUGUUAGCGGCGGACGGGUGAGUAACACGUGGGUAACCUACCUAUAAGACUGGGAUAACUCCGGGAGACCGGGGCUAAUACCGGAUAAUAUUUUGAAACGCAUGGUUCAAUAGUGAAAGACGGUUUCGGCUGUCACUUAUAGAUGGACCCGCGCCGUAUUAGCUAGUUGGUAAGGUAACGGCUUACCAAGGCGACGAUACGUAGCCGACCUGAGAGGGUGAUCGGCCACACUGGAACUGAGACACGGUCCAGACUCCUACGGGAGGCAGCAGUAGGGAAUCUUCCGCAAUGGGCGAAAGCCUGACGGAGCAACGCCGCGUGAGUGAUGAAGGUCUUCGGAUCGUAAAACUCUGUUGUUAGGGAAGAACAAAUUUGUUAGUAACUGAACAAGUCUUGACGGUACCUAACCAGAAAGCCACGGCUAACUACGUGCCAGCCGCCGCAGUAA
rnacentral:rRNA from 1 species